AUUGAACGCUGGCGGCAUGCCUUACACAUGCAAGUCGAACGGUAACGGGCCUUCGGGUGCCGACGAGUGGCGAACGGGUGAGUAAUGCAUCGGAACGUACCUUUCAGUGGGGGAUAACGUAGCGAAAGUUACGCUAAUACCGCAUAUUCUGUGAGCAGGAAAGCAGGGGAUCGCAAGACCUUGCGCUGAUUGAGCGGCCGAUGUCAGAUUAGCUAGUUGGUGAGGUAAAGGCUCACCAAGGCGACGAUCUGUAGCGGGUCUGAGAGGAUGAUCCGCCACACUGGAACUGAGACACGGUCCAGACUCCUACGGGAGGCAGCAGUGGGGAAUUUUGGACAAUGGGGGCAACCCUGAUCCAGCCAUGCCGCGUGAGUGAAGAAGGCCUUCGGGUUGUAAAGCUCUUUCGGCCGGGAAGAAAUCGCAUGGGUUAAUACCCUGUGCGGAUGACGGUACCGGCAUAAGAAGCACCGGCAAACUACGUG
rnacentral:rRNA from 1 species